UACGUAGGGGGCAAGCGUUGUCCGGAAUCAUUGGGCGUAAAGAGCGUGUAGGCGGCUCGAUAAGUCCGCUGUGAAAGUCCAGGGCUCAACCCUGGAAGGCCGGUGGAAACUGUCGGGCUAGAGUCCGGAAGAGGCGAGUGGAAUUCCCGGUGUAGCGGUGAAAUGCGCAGAUAUCGGGAGGAACACCAAUGGCGAAGGCAGCUCGCUGGGACGUGACUGACGCUGAGACGCGAAAGCGUGGGGAGCGAAUGGG
rnacentral:rRNA from 1 species